rnacentral:rRNA from 1 species
AUUGAACGCUGGCGGCAGGCCUAACACAUGCAAGUCGAGCGGCAGCGGGAAAGUAGCUUGCUACUUUUGCCGGCGAGCGGCGGACGGGUGAGUAAUGCCUGGGAAAUUGCCCAGUCGAGGGGGAUAACAGUUGGAAACGACUGCUAAUACCGCAUACGCCCUACGGGGGAAAGCAGGGGACCUUCGGGCCUUGCGCGAUUGGAUAUGCCCAGGUGGGAUUAGCUAGUUGGUGAGGUAAUGGCUCACCAAGGCGACGAUCCCUAGCUGGUCUGGGAGGAUGAUCAGCCACACUGGAACGGAGACACGGUCCAGACUCCUACGGGAGGCAGCAGUGGGGAAUAUUGCACAAUGGGGAAAACCCUGAUGCAGCCAUGCCGCGUGUGUGAAGAAGGCCUUCGGGUUGUAAGGCACUUUCAGCGAGGAGGAAAGGUUGAUGCCUAAUACGUAUCAACUGUGACGUUACUCGCAGAAGAAGCACCGGCUAACUCCGUGCCAGCCGCCGCCGUAAGAC